rnacentral:rRNA from 1 species
UGGGGAAUAUUGGACAAUGGGGGGAACCCUGAUCCAGCCAUGCCGCGUGUGUGAAGAAGGCCUUAUGGUUGUAAAGCACUUUAAGCGAGGAGGAGGGUACUGGUAUUAAUACUACCAGGUACUGGACGUUACUCGCAGAAUAAGCACCGGCUAACUCUGUGCCAGCAGCCGCGGUAAUACAGAGGGUGCGAGCGUUAAUCGGAUUUACUGGGCGUAAAGCGUGCGUAGGCGGCUAAUUGAGUCGGAUGUGAAAUCCCCGAGCUUAACUUGGGAAUUGCAUUCGAUACUGGUUAGCUAGAGUGUGGGAGAGGAUGGUAGAAUUCCAGGUGUCGCGGUGAAAUGCGUAGAGAUCUGGAGGAAUACCGAUGGCGAAGGCAGCCAUCUGGCCUAACACUGACGCUGAGGUACGAAAGCAUGGGGAGCAAACAGG